UACGUAGGUGGCGAGCGUUAUCCGGAAUUAUUGGGCGUAAAGAGCGCGCAGGCGGUUGAUUAAGUCUGAUGUGAAAGCCCACGGCUUAACCGUGGAGGGUCAUUGGAAACUGGUCAACUUGAGUGCAGAAGAGGGAAGUGGAAUUCCAUGUGUAGCGGUGAAAUGCGUAGAGAUGUGGAGGAACACCGAUGGCGAAGGCAGCCUCCUGGGCCAGCACUGACGCUCAUGCACGAAAGCGUGGGGAGCAAACAGG
rnacentral:rRNA from 1 species